GCGGGGAUCGAGCGUGGCUGCCAGUCUCUCGUCGUGUCUCGCGGAGAUCGAAGUCAGUCGUUGUUCGAGUGGCAUCGAAGCUGUGUCGAGCGGAUAACAAAACGGAUCUCCGAUGAUCCGUGAUUAAUUGUGAACUAGAUCAUCGGUGUCGGGAGGAUCAAGAUAGUAAUGGACGAUCGAUGUAACAUUUUUAAUAAGCGUUGAGUUGACGCAUGUUGAAAUGUGUACCAAGCAUCGAGUCUCGAGCAAUUCUUGAAUCCAACGUCGCAAGCUACCCGGUGUACAAACUGAAAAUAGUGUUGUCAAUCGGUCGUCGAUCGAAUUCCAGUUAUUUCGCGGCGAGUGGUGAAUAGAAAAAGAUUUAUGAAUGAGCGUCGACCGAGGUCUGAACAUGCUGCACAAGCAUGGAGGCAGCAAAUCGAAGAGCAGCAUGCUAUACAGGAGCAGAGAUAGAGAUGCUUUCCUUAAAUCCAUGUCGGAGUUCCCAGCGGAGGGAGGGGACAACGGUGACAUGCACACUGUCAUGGAGAAUUUCCAAAAGAAAAACAACCUGGUGACCGGCAGGAGCCACGUCAGUCACCACCCUCAGGUCACUUCCUCGUCGCAGAUGCUGACGACGAACCAGAGCCAGAGCAGCAGUAGCUCGAGCAGGGUAGCCAAAUCCUCGCAGAGGAUUGUAAGCUCGUCCUCUUCAAGUGAGAUGAAAGCUAGCUCCAUGAAGAGCGACCUAAGGGAACUUCAACGUGGCAUUUCAGAAAUGAAGAACAACAUAUCGACUAACUUCUCGCAACGAUUACGUAGCAGCAUGGAGAACCUCGUGGACAGAGACGGAAACGGUACCGAGGAAGCCGAUCUAACCGAACCAUUGGUCACCUUCCCUGAUCCGGACACACCACCUCCGGUCACUGGAACGGUCACCUUACCAGGCGGACCACCCUCGCAACUCAGCUCCUUGAAUUCUUUGAACAAUCUUCACAAUAUGAGCCCACCGAUCAGUAUAUCGAACAUCUCGAACAUGACGAAUUUACCUGCUGGCCAGGAGACAAUGAAGUUCGAGCAGAAGAAGAUGACCAGCGCGUCCAAGACAAAGGUUGUCACCGACGGUUUCAGCGCCGAAAAGGCGACUGCGAAUAGCGCCGAGAUGAGAGCCUUACAAGCUGGCGACGUCUCGUACAAGGAACAGAGCGCCGCGACGGCGGCCAGGGCACGCGUCGAACUCGAUGGCGUCUCCGCGGAGAAAAGCGUCGCUGCGGCAAGGGAACAGAGAAGCUUGAAAGCUGGCGAUCUCUCGCACCAAGAGAGCAAUAACAUGGCAGCGUCCACGAUGAAGCUGCAGAGUGAUUCCUUCAGUUCGGAAAAGAAAGCCGUGGCGGCGCAACAUCAAAAACAAACGGUCACCUCGACCGGUAUCUUCAACCAGGAGAAACACAUGUUGAGUACCAGCUCGCAGUCGAGUAUCACGAUUGCUUCAAACGGAGUUGCCUCGAAGUCGUCGAUGAUUAGUGCGGCAAGUGCGGUGAAUCAGUUGAUGAACGGCAUGAGGCCAGCCGAGGAUGAACUCCUAUCUUUACCCCUGGACGAUCUGGAUCUUCUAUGUUCGAAAUCGAAUCCGCAGGACGUCGAUCGGGCCAUCACGAAAUACUCCAACUUCCUCGACAGUUUUGUCGAACGUUUGAAGGCGAACGAUGGGAAAAACGGGAAAGCUCCGUUGCUUUUGAACAGAGUGAACGAGAUCAUCAGGAAGGCUUGGGCAGUGCCUACUCACGGCCAUGAGUUAGGUUACACCUUGUGCAACACCUUGAGAACGAGAGGUGGCCUCGAUCUCCUCAUGUCGAACUGCGUGGCCAGCGAUCAGGAAUUACAAUUCUCCUCGGCCAGAUUGCUCGAACAAUGUCUGACCACCGAGAACAGGGCGCACGUGGUGGAACACGGUUUGGAGAAGGUGGUGAACGUCGCUUGUGUCUGUACGAAGAACGCGAACUCGGUGGAUCAUUCCAGGGUAGGCACCGGUAUCUUGGAACAUUUGUUUAAGCACAGCGAAGGCACCUGCAGCGACGUGAUCAGGCUGGGCGGUUUGGACGCUGUACUCUUCGAAUGUAGAAAGAACGACAUCGAAACGUUGAGACACUGCGCUGGUGCUUUGGCGAACCUGUCCCUGUACGGUGGUGCAGAGAACCAGGAGGCGAUGAUCAAAAGGAAGGUACCUAUGUGGUUGUUCCCUCUGGCUUUUCACAACGACGAUAACAUCAAGUACUAUGCAUGUCUGGCGAUCGCGGUACUGGUAGCCAACAAAGAAAUAGAAGCCGCGGUGCUGAAGUCGGGUACCUUGGAUCUGGUCGAGCCGUUCGUCACCUCGCACAAUCCUUACGAGUUCGCCAAGUCCAAUCUGGCGCACGCUCAUGGCCAGAGUAAGAACUGGCUAGAGAGGUUGGUACCGGUGUUGAGCUCGAAGAGAGAGGAAGCCAGGAACCUGGCCGCCUUCCACUUUUGCAUGGAAGCGGGCAUCAAGAAGCAACAGGGUAACACAGAGAUAUUCCGUGCGAUCGGGGCCAUCGAACCUCUGAAAAAAGUAGCCAGUUGUCCCAACGCCGUCGCCUCCAAAUACGCAGCUCAAGCACUGCGGCUGAUCGGCGAGGAGAUACCCCACAAACUUAGUCAACAGGUACCUCUCUGGUCCACGGAGGAUGUCAGGGAGUGGGUGAAACAAAUUGGCUUCGCAGAGUGCGCGCACAACUUCGUGGAGAGUAGGGUGGACGGUGAUCUCUUGCUACAACUGACCGAGGAGAAUCUCAAGGAAGAUAUUGGACUUACAAAUGGAAUCAGAAGGAGACGGUUCACCAGAGAAUUACAGAACUUGAAGAAGAUGGCUGAUUACAGUAGUCGAGAUACAGGAAACCUGAACAGUUUCCUCCAGUCUAUCGGUCAAGAGUUCUCGAUUUACACGUACAGUAUGCUCAACGCUGGCGUUGACAAGGACUCGAUCAGAAAUCUGUCGGAAGAUCAACUUCAGACCGAAUGCGGGAUCACGAACAGUAUUCAUCGGUUAAGGAUACUGGACGCCAUUAAAAAUAUGCAGCACAAUCAGUUGGGUUCGUGCGAGGACGAAUCACCUGACAAAUCGUUGGACGUGUUCGUUAGUUAUAGAAGAUCGAAUGGAUCACAGUUGGCCAGUUUACUGAAAGUCCAUUUGCAGUUGCGCGGUUUCUCUGUGUUCAUCGAUGUCGAGAGGCUAGAGGCUGGGAAAUUCGAUAAUAAUCUGUUGCAGAGCAUUAGACAGGCGAAACACUUCCUCCUUGUGCUAACGCCCAAGGCUUUGGAAAGGUGUAUACAGGACACUGAAUGUAAAGACUGGGUUCAUAGGGAGAUCGUAGCAGCUCUACAGUCACAGUGUAAUAUAAUUCCCAUCAUAGACAAUUUCCAGUGGCCAGAGCCUGAAGAACUUCCCGAAGACAUGCGAGCAGUUUGUCACUUUAACGGUGUACGGUGGAUUCACGACUACCAGGAUGCAUGCGUAGACAAGCUUGAAAGGUUUAUGCGAGGUGAGAUACCAGUCAGGUCGGAUAUUCCAAGGAGUAUCGCAACCAAAGACGUGACACAACCUAAUACACCGGGUAACACGACCAUUCGACAACCACCGAAUUACCAACGUAUGCACAGUAACGAGAGCAGGGGUAGCGACAAAGAUUCAACAGGUGGGCGAGAUUGACUAGAGGGCCCGCCCACAGCCAUACUGAGCAGCCAGGAUUAACAAUCACGCUAAAGACAAUCGAUCAUGACUAGGCUUAGAAAAUCAUCGAGUCCGUCCCGUUGGUUAAUGGGUUUACCGCCU